UACGGAGGUCUCAAGCGUUGAUCGGAUUCAUUGGGCGUAAAGGGUGCGUAGGCGGCGGGGCAAGUCGGAUGUGAAAUCUCAGGGCUCAACCCUGAAACUGCAUUCGAUACUGCCUUGCUCGAGGACUGGAGAGGAGAUUGGAAUUCACGGUGUAGCAGUGAAAUGCGUAGAUAUCGUGAGGAAGACCAGUGGCGAAGGCGGAUCUCUGGACAGUUCCUGACGCUGAGGCACGAAGGCCAGGGGAGCAAACGGG
rnacentral:rRNA from 1 species